GAUGAACGCUGGCGGCGUGCCUAAUACAUGCAAGUCGAGCGAACAGACGAGGAGCUUGCUCCUCUGACGUUAGCGGCGGACGGGUGAGUAACACGUGGAUAACCUACCUAUAAGACUGGGAUAACUUCGGGAAACCGGAGCUAAUACCGGAUAAUAUAUUGAACCGCAUGGUUCAAUAGUGAAAGACGGUUUUGCUGUCACUUAUAGAUGGAUCCGCGCCGCAUUAGCUAGUUGGUAAGGUAACGGCUUACCAAGGCAACGAUGCGUAGCCGACCUGCGAGGGUGAUCGGCCACACUGGAAGUGAGACACGGUCCAGACUCCUACGGGAGGCAGCAGUAGGGAAUCUUCCGCAAUGGGCGAAAGCCUGACGGAGCAACGCCGCGUGAGUGAUGAAGGUCUUCGGAUCGUAAAACUCUGUUAUUAGGGAAGAACAAAUGUGUAAGUAACUAUGCACGUCUUGACGGUACCUAAUCAGAAAGCCACGGCUAACUACGUG
rnacentral:rRNA from 1 species